GGGCCGGAAUGGAUUUGACAGCAGGAGAAAGGGUACGUAAGCACGCAGUGCGCCUUGAGAGUGGGCACUUAAAACUCGGCUCUUAAAAAAUUUAACUGGCGAAAACAGAAUGGCUCUCGCUGCUUGAUCUGAAGUAUAGUAGGAUCGCUUUAUUCUGACUCCAGGAGUUGGAACGAGACAUCGCCCAAAAAGCCGUUUUUUCCGAGGCGUUUUGAAAUGGCGGUGCAGGAAAAUCGGGAAUAGUCUGCGGCGGCCUCGCGCCAUAGGCGAAACUUUAGAGGAUAAGGUGUCGGUUGGUAGCUUCGGUCUUGCCGACACACGAAAAUCAAAGCGAAGAUAAGCGUGUAGAAAGCGUAUUGGUUCCCUGUUUGGACGAGGGUUCAAUCCCCUCCCGGUCCACU
rnacentral:tmRNA from 1 species